rnacentral:rRNA from 1 species
AGUGAACGCUGGCGGUAGGCCUAACACAUGCAAGUCGAACGGCAGCACAGUAAGAGCUUGCUCUUACGGGUGGCGAGUGGCGGACGGGUGAGGAAUACAUCGGAAUCUACUUUUUCGUGGGGGAUAACGUAGGGAAACUUACGCUAAUACCGCAUACGACCUACGGGUGAAAGCAGGGGAUCUUCGGACCUUGCGCGAUUGAAUGAGCCGAUGUCGGAUUAGCUAGUUGGCGGGGUAAAGGCCCACCAAGGCGACGAUCCGUAGCUGGUCUGAGAGGAUGGUCGGCCACACUGGAACUGAGACACGGUCCAGACUCCUACGGGAGGCAGCAGUGGGGAAUAUUGGACAAUGGGCGCAAGCCUGAUACAGCCAUACCGCGUGGGUGAAGAAGGCCCUCGGGUUGUAAAGCCCUUUUGUUGGGAAAGAAAAGCAGCAGGUUAAUACCCCGCUGUUCUGACGGUACCCAAAGAAUAAGCACCGGCUAACUUCGUG